GAUAAUAUUUAUUUCAAGAUAAGACUACACGUAAGGUACUCAGAAUAAACUGAGCUAUUCACAGUCAAAUUUUGCAAAUCAAGUCAUCAAUUUCACAAUUUGUUUAAAAACAAUUUCAAUUUCAAAAUGCAACUGGUAAAUACAUUUUGGACUACCACGAAGUACAUGGCCUGCGGUUUUUUAGGAUUAUUAUUGGGGUUUUUCAUUUAUAUAUGUUAUCUUGCGGUGAUGUACGGCGAUUAAACAAAUGAAGAUGACAAACCACAAUAUUUGCAAAAAAGAAGUUUUAUUUGGUUCAAAGCUAUACAUCUAUUCAAUUGGUGCGUUCAUAAAUAAACAGUCGGUUAUUUCGAUCAAAAAUGGAUUUAGAAUCAUGCAAAACACUAUGGUGGUAUCUUUCACCUUUACUGGGCUGCUUCUUGGUAUUCGUCGUUUGGCUUUAUAACUACGGAAAGUAUAAUUGACAUCACCAACUAGUGUUCUAAUUUUCUACUCUGGAAGAAAUAUUUUCCAAUCAUAAGCUGAGCAAAUGAAACGUAAUCAUCGAUACAGGAAUAAAUACAUAAACGGGAUAGAAAAAGCUAGAUGUAAGAAUUCGAAUUUCUUCAUAUUUCCAAGUUAAUUUACAGAUAUGUGGGUGCAGUCAUUUGCAAAUAUGAUUUUUAAUAUUUCAACUUGUAUUUUUAAUGCAGCAAUUCUAUCGUUGUUUGGAAACAAAUAUAAAUAUAAGUUUUAAAAGUUGUAAUAUGCCAUGUUCCUAUGAAUUUUCAAAGAAAUAAUUUACCUAAUCUUUUAUCAAUUUUUUUUUAAGAAAUUGAAAGUUUAUAGGUAGAUUUUAAAACUGAAAAAAUAGACAAGUGAUAUCGGUCAUCGGGGUAAUCAAGAUUGAAGAGAAAAAGAAGGGGGCAAAGGGGACCAUUUUCCUUGACCUCAAUUUUUCGGACAGUUCAAAAAAUGAAACGACUGACUCUGAUAUAACUUAAAAGAAUGCAUCACCAAUCAUAACAAGGUAAUAGUAAAUGUCAUAGGAGGUGUUGGAAUUCAAUUUGUUGAAAAUUGUCAUCAAUUUUUAGGACUUUUUUUUUUUAUAAAAAAUUAAUAUUUUUCACAAGUCGAUUUUUCAAGGAGGAAGGUCAAGAUAAUAUUGCUCUGGGGCUUUUGGCUCUCGAUGGCUCAGAAAAUGAAACAAUGAAUAACGCCGCAAAGAUUUUUUUCUUCGGUUUAGUUGUCUCACUUCCCCUCAAAAGUUUAUACCCUUUUCUCGUUCCUAAACUAGGUAGAUAUUAAUUCUCAAUCGAGCAGAAUUUUCUAGAAUUCUAAAAGUAAUUUUACAAAUUAAUAAAAUAAUUUAAUGAUGUAACAUUGAUAGGUACCUAAUUUAGAACUCGUACGUUUCCUACUUAUUUUAAUCAAGUAAAUGUUUAGGCUUGCUUGGAUUUAAUAGGUCAAAUAAAUCAUUUUCAUAAUUUCGAAAAUCAUAAAGAAUCUAUUGAUUAAAAAAGAUUGGAAUCGUCUAGAUUAUGUUAUUUAAAAUACAUUCAGACUCUAAAAUCCAACUCUUACCGUUGUUCGUCUUGGUUCUCAAAAAUUACACCAUAAAAAAUGUUCUUCGCUUUUCCCGGAGUUGGUAAUUUGGCAUUUCUUGGAGCUGGAAUGUGUUCUGCGCCUGGACACACUUCCAGUGGAUCUCGAUUGGGAUAUGCCAGUUGGCUUUGUUCGAUGGGUAUGAUGGUCGCUAUGAUGUACGUACUUUGCUAAUUGUUCUUCUCCUUCACUUCAACCAGGAGAACUCAUCUGAUACUCCCUCAAGGAUUUACCGUGAACUUUAUUCUAUUACGUGGUACUUAAUUAAUUCCAUAAUUGCAGUAAAUUAUCCAGAAAUGAAUUCCAAACCAUAUUUUUGAGAACUGGCGUUUCAUGUAGACAGAAAAAUGAUUAAAUUUAAGAUUCAAAUAUUGAAAUAGGAUAAGCAUGGAAAGUAAAUCACAAUAAAUGAGUAAUUUUAAAAAUA